UUUUUUUUUCUUUUUUUCCUUUUUUUUUUCUUUUAAAAUUUUCCAUUUUAAGUUGGUUAUUUCUGAUUGAUAUUUAAAAGCAAAUAAUAAUGAUAUGGUAGGAGAUACACACCAAACAGGAUGUGUAAAUUAUUAUAUAAUAAGUAUUGUGCAAUAGCAAGAAAUUUUCAAUUGCACAGUAUUGCACAAUAGCAAGAAAUCUUCAAUUGCACAGUAUUGCGCAAUAGCAAGAAAUCUUCAAUUGCACAGUAUUGCGCAAUAGCAAGAAAUAUCCAAUAGCACAAUAUUGCGCAAUAGCAAGAAAUUGUCAAUUGUACAGUAUUGCACAAUAGCAAGAAAUAUUCAAUUGCACAGUAUUGUGCAAAAGAAGAUACUUCGUAUAAAUUGCUUAUUUCUUGAUCAAUUUCAAUGGGGUUUUAUUCUUGAAUUCUUGGGGUUCUUUAAUAUGCUGAAUCUAACCGUGUAUUAAGUUUUUGGAUUUUGGGCCCCGUUUUUAAAUUUGUCCACAUUGAGGUCCAAAGGGUCCAAAAUUUAACUUUGUUUGAUUUCAUCAAAAAUUGAAUUCUUGGGGUUCUUUGAUAUGCUGAAUCUAACCAUGUAUUUAGAUUUUUUAUUUGUGGACCCGCUAUCAAAUUGGUUCAUAUUGAGGUCAAAAGGGUCCAAAAUUAAACUUUGUUUGAUUUCAUCAAAAAUUGAAUUAUUGGGGUUCUUUGAUAUGCUGAAUCUUACCAUGUAUUUAGAUUUUUUAUUUGUGGGCCCGCUAUCAAAUUGGUUCAUAUUGAGGUCAAAAGGGUCCAAAAUUAAACUUUGUUUGAUUUCAUAAAAAAUUUAAUUAUUGGGGUUCUUUGAUAUGCCAAAUCUAACCGUGUAUUUUGAUUUUUAAUUUUGGGUCCCGUUUUUUAAAUUGGUCUACAUUAAGGUCCAAAGGGUCCAAAAUUAAACUUAGUUUGAUUUUAACAAAAAUUGAAUUUUUGGGGUUCUUUGAUAUGCUGAAUCUAAACAUAUGUUUAGAUUUUUGAUUAUGGGACCAGUUUUCAAGUUGGGGUCCAAAAUUAAACUUUGUUUGAUUUCAACAAAAAUUGAAUAUAUGGGGUUCUUUGAUAUGCUGAAUCUAACCAUGUAUUUUGAUUUUGGACAUUGGACCAGAAUAGGUAAAUUAAAAAAAAUUGAAGUUCUUAGACCACAUUCUUUCUGUGUCAGAAACCUAUGCUGUGUCAAAUAUUUAAUCACAAUCCAAAUUCAGAGCUGUAUCAAGCUUGAAUGUUGUGUCCAUACUUGCCCCAACUGUUCAGGGUUCGACCUCUGCGGUCGUAUCAAGCUGCGCCCAGCGAAGCAUUUUAUUGGUUAUUAUCUUGAACAUUAUUAUAGAUAGAGAUAAACUGUAAACAGCAAUAAUGUUCAGCAAAGUAAGAUCUACAAAUAAGUCAACUUGACCAAAAUGGUCAGUUGACCCCUUAAGGAGUUAUUGCCCUUUAUAGUCAAUUUUUAACCAUUUUUCGUAAUUUUUUGUAAUUUUUUACAAAAAUCUUCUCCUCUGAAACUACUAAGACAAAUUUAACCGAACUUGUCCACAAUCAUCAUUAGGGUAUCUAGUUAAAAAAUGUGUCUGAUGACCCCGCCCGCGAACCAAGAUGGCCGACAUGGCUAAAAAAUAGUACAUAGGGUAAAAUGCAGUUUUUGGCUCAUAUCUCUGAAACCAAAGCAUUUAGAGCAAAUCUGAUGAUGAUAAAAUUGUUCAUUAGGUCAAGAUCUAUCUGCCCUGAAAUUUUCAGACCAAUCAGGCAACCUGUUGUUGGGUUGCUGCCCCUGAAUUGGUAAUUUUAAGAAAAUUUUGCAGCUUUUGGUUAUUAUCUUGAAUAUUGUUAUAGAUAGAGAUAAACUGUUAACAGCAAUAAUGUACAGCAAAGUCAGAUCUACAAAUAAGGCAACAUGACCAAAAUUGUCAAUUGACCCCUUAAGGAGUUAUUGCCCUUUAUAGUCAAUUUUUAGCUCACCUGACCUGAUAGGUCAAGUGAGCUUUUCUCAUCACUUGGCGUCCGUCGUCCGUAAACUUUUACAAAAAUCUUCUCCUCUGAAACUACUGGGCCAAAUUUGACCAAACUUGGCCACAAUCAUCAUUGGGGUAUCUUGUUUAAAAAAUGUGUCCGGUGACCCGGCCAACCAACCAAGAUGGCCGCCAUGGCUAAAAAUAGAACAUAGGGGUAAAAUGUAGAUUUUGGCUUAUAUCUCUGAAACCAAAGCAUUUAGAGCAAAUCUGACAGUGGUAAAAUUGUUUAUCAGGUCAAGAUCUAUCUGCCCUGAAAUUUUCAGAUGAAUCGGACAACCCGUUGUUGGGUUGCUGCCCUUGAAUUGGUAAUUUUAAGGAAAUUUUGCAGUUUAUGGUUAUUAUCUUGAACAUUAUUAUAGAUAGAGAUAAACUGUAAACAGCAAUAAUGUUCAGCAAAGUAAGAUCUACAAAUAAGUCAACUUGACCAAAAUGGUCAUUUGACCCCUUAAGGAGUUAUUGCCCUUUAUAGUCAAUUUUUAACCAUUUUUCGUAAAUUUUUGUAAUCUUUUACAAAAAUCUUCUCCUCUGAAACUACUAAGACAAAUUUAACCAAACUUGUCCACAAUCAUCAUUAGGGUAUCUAGUUUAAAAAAUGUGUCCGAUGACCCCGCCCGCGAACCAAGAUGGCCGACAUGGCUAAAAAAUAGUACAUAGGGUAAAAUGCAGUUUUUGGCUCAUAUCUCUGAAACCAAAGCAUUAAGAGCAAAUCUGAUGAUGAUAAAAUUGUUCAUUAGGUCAAGAUCUAUCUGCCCUGAAAUUUUCAGACCAAUCAGGCAACCCGUUGUUGGGUUGCUGCCCCUGAAUUGGUAAUUUUAAGGAAAUUUUGCAGUUUUUGGUUAUUAUCUUGAACAUUAUUAUAGAUAGAGAUAAACUGUAAACAGCAAUAAUGUUCAGCAAAGUAAGAUCUACAAAUAAGUCAACUUGACCAAAAUGGUCAGUUGACCCCUUAAGGAGUUAUUGCCCUUUAUAGUCAAUUUUUAACCAUUUUUCGUAAUUUUUUGUAAUUUUUUACAAAAAUCUUCUCCUCUGAAACUACUAAGACAAAUUUAACCAAACUUGUCCACAAUCAUCAUUAGGGUAUCUAGUUUAAAAAAUGUGUCCAAUGACCCCACCCGCGAACCAAGAUGGCCGACAUGGCUAAAAAAUAGUACAUAGGGUAAAAUGCAGUUUUUGGCUCAUAUCUCUGAAACCAAAGCAUUUAGAGCAAAUCUGAUGAUGAUAAAAUUGUUCAUUAGGUCAAGAUCUAUCUGCCCUGAAAUUUUCAGACCAAUCAGACAACCCGUUGUUGGGUUGCUGCCCCUGAAUUGGUAAUUUUAAGAAAAUUUUGCAGCUUUUGGUUAUUAUCUUGAAUUUUGUUAUAGAUAGAGAUAAACUGUUAACAGCAAUAAUGUACAGCAAAGUUAGAUCUACAAAUAAGGCAACAUGACCAAAAUUGUCAAUUGACCCCUUAAGGAGUUAUUGCCCUUUAUAGUCAAUUUUUUACAAUUUUCAUAAAUUUUGUAAAUUUUUACAAAGUAUUUUCCACUGUAACUACCGGGCCAAGUUCAUUAUAGAUAGAGAUAAUAGUAAGGAGCAAGAAUGUUCAGUAAAGUAAGAUCUACAAACACAUCAUCAUCACCAAAACACAAUUUUGUCAUGAAUCCAUCUGUGUCCUUUGUUUAAUAUGCACAUAGACCAAGGUGAGCGACACAGGCUCUUUAGAGCCUCUAAUUUACAAUUUUCUUAAAUUUUGUAAAUUUUUGUAAAUUUGUACAAAGUAUUUUCCACUGUAACUACUGGGCCAAGUUCAUUAUAGAUAGAGAUAAUAGUAAGGAGCAAGAAUGUUCAGUAAAGUAAGAUCUACAAACACAUCACCAUCACCAAAACACAAUUUUGUCAUGAAUCCAUCUGUGUCCUUUGUUUAAUAUGCACAUAGACCAAGGUGAGCGACACAGGCUCUUUAGAGCCUCUAGUUUACAUAAUGUGAAGAAGCCUCGAGAACCAUGACCUCAACAUUAACAGUCUUCAGAAAACUUAAACUUGAUGCAAUAAUAUUUUAUCAAUCAUCAUUAUUUUCAUUUAUAUUGAAAUAAAUUUGAUCAUCUAAAGAAAUGAAAAAGAUAACAAAUAAGAAACUCUACACAGAAAUGCUGUAAUCUAUUGAUUCAAUUAGCUUACCUGUAAUGUAAAUAUAGAUUCUACCACUGUAUCGAUUGUGAUACGAUAUUUAUCCACUUGAGACAGUUAAAAACGCAAUGCUUGCCGAGCGUUUCAAAUAUUUAAAAUUGAUUUUGGGGGUUCUGGUCCAAGCUGUUUAGGAAUUAGGGGCCCAAAUAAGCAUUUUUGUUGUUUCCAGACAAUAACUUGUCUUAAAGUGUAUGACUUGGGGGGGAUUAUGGCUCAAACCAUUUAGGAAUUGGGGGCAAAAAAGGGGAAAAACGGGGUUUUCUGGUUAAAGGACAAUUAAGACAAAUUAAAAGCAGUGUAAGGGAGGUAAUCCAAAUCAAUUUAAGUAAUGUUUGAUUACCUCCUUUACACUGCUUGUUAAUUAUGUAUUAAGAAAUGAUGAUUGUCUGAGAUACUGACCAUAACUUGAGGGAAAGAAUUAAUUAUUGGAAUAAGGGAAAGGGGGGAGGUGAAAAAAAUUGGAUGGGAACAAUUUUUUUCUCAUUUCAGAUUUCAGAAAUUAAAAGAAAAUUUCUUCAAAUACGUUUUUUUGGGGGAUUAAUAUUCAACAGCAUAGUGUAUUGCACAAAUGCAAAAAAAACAGGGAAAAAAUUACAAAAGGUUUUACCAUAUACAGCUUCGUUAAUCUAUACUUUGGGUAGAAAAUCCUGGAUAUUUUGAAAAAUUCAGAGUUAUGAAAACUUAAUUUAAUGUGACCAAAUAAAUGAUAAUUAAAAAAAUCAUAUCUUUA